CAGAGUGCCCGGAGGUUAACCUGUUAGGUGCUGUCUUGUAGUGAGUACCGUCUCCGUCCUCCUCGGGGGUAAGACGGCGAGAGGCGAGUCCGGGAGUUAGCAUUCCCCAGCUCAAGCUUCCCAGGCCCAGUUAGGGGGUUUCGGACGUGUCGCUCUCGAGGGGCAGCCCCCAAGUUUGGCAAAACUUCUCGCUUCAGAGCCUGCGGUCUACUUUCAGGCUUCCCAGCAAGGCCUCCGGUCUAAAGAUUUGCCUUCCAAUACUAAACCCUUCACUGCCUGGCGCACCCGUCCGUCCCGCUCCACUCCUGACCCUUCCCGCCGGGUCCCGAGAGCGCCCCUAGCUGUUCAGAGGCGGAACUGGGUCCCAGGGUGACUCGCACUGAACUGUUUUGUUAUCUCCACCCCUAAGUGCCAACACAAAUAAGAGCAUCACUUUUUCUUAUUAAAUUUAUUCACAAAAAGUGAGAUUGUAGAGGUUCUGGGGACUGUACAUGGUUAAGGGACUGGUGAGCUCUAUACACGGGGCUGGGAGAGAAGGGAGCCUCCAGGUAGAAGUGUAAUCUUUAUUAAAAAAAAUAAUGGGAGCUACAACCACCCCCUCCCCCCUCCCCGAUUAAAAAGACACAAAAA